GGUGAGUAACGCGUAGGUAACCUGCCUGGUAGCGGGGGAUAACUAUUGGAAACGAUAGCUAAUACCGCAUAAGAGUAGAUGUUGCAUGACAUUUGCUUAAAAGGUGCAAUUGCAUCACUACCAGAUGGACCUGCGUUGUAUUAGCUAGUUGGUGGGGUAACGGCUCACCAAGGCGACGAUACAUAGCCGACCUGAGAGGGUGAUCGGCCACACUGGGACUGAGACACGGCCCAGACUCCUACGGGAGGCAGCAGUAGGGAAUCUUCGGCAAUGGACGGAAGUCUGACCGAGCAACGCCGCGUGAGUGAAGAAGGUUUUCGGAUCGUAAAGCUCUGUUGUAAGAGAAGAACGAGUGUGAGAGUGGAAAGUUCACACUGUGACGGUAUCUUACCAGAAAGGGACGGCUAACUACGUGCCAGCAGCCGCGGUAAUACGUAGGUCCCGAGCGUUGUCCGGAUUUAUUGGGCGUAAAGCGAGCGCAGGCGGUUAGAUAAGUCUGAAGUUAAAGGCUGUGGCUUAACCAUAGUACGCUUUGGAAACUGUUUAACUUGAGUGCAAGAGGGGAGAGUGGAAUUCCAUGUGUAGCGGUGAAAUGCGUAGAUAUAUGGAGGAACACCGGUGGCGA
rnacentral:rRNA from 1 species